UGGACCGUUCGUUGAGGGGUUAGGAGGGCGUGCUCAGAAAAAAAGUUUUCACCUCGUGAAAAAAAGAAGAAAGAAACAUUUCCGGAAGUUUGUGGAACUCGUCGGAAGUAACUGUGGUGCCACCUGCCAAGGGUUCAGAAAUAUGCUGUUGAAUGGUGUUGGGAGAAAAAAGUGCUGAAUAAUCCAAAACAGGAAGUCCCAGCUGGGAGUGGCCUUAGGUGUAACAGCAAAGGUCACAUAUUGUGGUGGAAGAGUGAGAAAUGUGCUGUCGUGGUUGACCAACGGCGGGUUCCAUAUCGGUAAUUGCGAAUCCUGCAAGCAAGCGAAAAACAACUAGCCCCAACUAGCGAAAGUGUUCAUGGAAUUGGUACGAUGGAUCUGAUAUCGCUACCUCCGUGCUCCCGACGACU